rnacentral:rRNA from 1 species
GGUUACUGCUAUCGGUGUUCGCUUAAGCCAUGCGAGUCAUAUGUUCGUAAGAACAUGGCGUACUGCUCAGUAACACGUGGAUAACCUGCCCUUGGGUCCGGCAUAACCCCGGGAAACUGGGGAUAAUUCCGGAUAACGCACAUAUGCUGGAAUGCUUUAUGCGUAAAAUGGAUUCGUCUGCCCAAGGAUGGGUCUGCGGCCUAUCAGGUAGUAGUGGGUGUAAUGUACCUACUAGCCUACGACGGGUACGGGUUGUGAGAGCAAGAGCCCGGAGAUGGAUUCUGAGACAUGAAUCCAGGCCCUACGGGGCGCAGCAGGCGCGAAAACUUUACAAUGCGGGAAACCGUGAUAAGGGGACACCGAGUGCCAGCAUCCUAUGCUGGCUGUCCGGGUGUGUAAAAUACACCUGUAGCAAGGGCCGGGCAAGACCGGUCCAGCCGCCGCGGUAACACCGGCGGCCCGAGUGGUGAUCGUGAUUAUUGGGUCUAAAGGGUCCGUAGCCGGUUUGGUCAGUCCUCCGGGAAAUCUGACAGCUUAACUGUUAGGCUUUCGGAGGAUACUGCCAGACUUGGAACCGGGAGAGGUAAGAGGUACUACAGGGGUAGGAGUGAAAUCUUGUAAUCCCUGUGGGACCACCUGUGGCGAAGGCGUCUUACCAGAACGGGUUCGACGGUGAGGGACGAAAGCUGGGGGCACGAACCGGAUUAGAUACCCGGGUAGUCCCAGCC